rnacentral:lncRNA from 1 species
GGGGGGAUGGGUGAUUGGAGGAAGACAAACCUGAUGCUGGGUAAGGGUAAAGGGAGGGGAACCCUAGGUGUAGGUAGGUCGCUUGUUUGGUGGGAGGCGGGAUGGAGCUCGCCUGCCGCCGCUCGCCGGCGCCGCGGGAGGGGGGCGGCGGACCGCUGGCUACAGUUGUUUGUGGGAUGGACGGGAUCCGUUUGUUUCUACAGUAAGUAGUCUUUAUAUGCGACGCGAGCGAGGCAGAGGUUGGGUUUUGGUUUUGGUUUUGGUUGGUGAAGGGAAUCCGUUUGUUUGUUU